UCGGCCCCGGUUCACGGUGGACAACCCGUCUCCCGACCCGGCGCC
ncrna:Streptomyces sp. NRRL F-5053 L31-Actinobacteria ribosomal protein leader